rnacentral:ncRNA from 1 species
ACUUCUCAAGGGCAAACCGUGCGUGAGCACGGGACGCAAAGUGACAGCACACGAUGGAGUAUGCCAAGGAGGCGUGAGUGUGGGCUGCAUUGCUGAG